rnacentral:rRNA from 1 species
GUGCAGCAGGCGCGAAAACUCCACAAUGCGCGAAAGCGUGAUGGGGGGAGUCUGAGUGGAGGGUUCACCCCCUCCUUUUGCCAAGUUUAGUAAGCUUGGCGAAUAAGUGCUGGGUAAGGCCGGUGGCAGCCGCCACGGUAAUACCGGCGGCACAAGUGGUGUCCACGAGUAUUGGGCUUAAAGCGUCCGUAGCUGGCCCAAACCGUCUUAUGUGAAAUGCAUGUGCUCAACACAUGCGCUUGCAUAAGAUACCUUUGGGCUAGGGAGCGGGAGAGGUUAGGAGUACUUAUAGGGUAGGGGUAGAAUCCUAUAAUCCCAUAAGGACUACCGGUGGCGAAGGCGCCUAACCAGAACGCAUCCGACAGUGAGUGACGAAGGCUAGGAGAACGAAUCGGAUUAGAUACCCCCGUAGUCC